rnacentral:rRNA from 1 species
UACGUAGGGACCGAGCGUUGUCCGGAAUCAUUGGGCGUAAAGAGCGUGUAGGCGGCCACUUAAGUCCUGCGUGAAAUCUUGCGGCUCAACCGCAAGCGGUCGUGGGAAACUGGGUGGCUAGAGUGCGGGAGAGGAGAGUGGAAUUCCUGGUGUAGCGGUGGAAUGCGCAGAUAUCAGGAAGAACACCCGUGGCAAAGGCGGCUCUCUGGAACGCAACUGACGCUGAGACGCGAAAGCGUGGGGAGCAAACAGG